AUAGAGAUGGUGUCUGCUGGUGUCAGCGCAGUGUCUGCUCCCAGUUGUGCUUCCACAUGAUUGCCAGGGGAAUCACCUACUGCUGCUGCAGUUGUACCGUAACUGGCUAGACCUCCUGUGUGCAGAAAAUGGCAUCCAGGUGUUGGGAAAAGGCCCGUGCUGAAUUUAUGUUUGCGUCACACUCGGCACAGUAAUGAGGCAGAAAUGAUUUCCAUGAAAACUUGGCUGCCCCUGCCAAACCUCAGGGCCAGGGAUGGGUAAAAGCUGGACUCCAGGUGUGAGUGUGAACCGGAAGGGAUUCCUUGUGUGGGAUUUGUUUAAGUCUUUUGUGGUUUCGUCUGCAUUUCUUGUUGCAAUGCAGAAAAUCUGGUUACGGUUUCCUGUUGUCUUAGGGGACAGCAGGCUCCUCGCUGCCACUUGUCAGAAUGCCCAGGCCAUGGUACCGUGCUCCUGGUAAGGGACAGUGACUUCUGUUGAAAGUGUCCCGUUUUCUCUGAAGAGACAGAUUCUGAGAGUGUGCCGGAUACCUUUCCCAUGGAAGAACCAAUCAGCCUGCCAGUGUCAGACGAAGAACCAGAACAAAUACAGGACACCAGUACACUUGCUGAACCUGAGCAAUAUUCAGCUCCUGGGCAAAAAGGCAAGACUGCUGGACGCGGUGAUCCGAGCAAGUACUACAUCCUAGGGAUCAUAGCAGCCGCAGCUUUGCUUCUGCUUGGGGCACUGGCUGGGUGUAUAGUCAUGUAUGUGCUGCUGAAGAGACACAUGAGGACCCAGGAGGACAGAGAAGCACCAAGACAAUUAUCCACUGACUCUUCCUGGGCAUGCCAUGAUCAGCCUAGAGACAGAGGUGAAACAGAGUCAGCAGAAGGAGCCGGAAUGGGCGAGAGAGCCCAAGCCAACAGGUUCGGGGACAGCUGCCAUUUGUUUUCUGAGGUCUUUGCAGCAGAGCUUGCCCAGCUGUACAAGAACAUGGGUGCAGACCCUUCACCUCUGCCUACGUGUCCCUUCUGUGCUCUGGCUGAUGGUGCCUCUUCACGGGACCACUGGAUUUCCCUGGACUCACCUCAGCCCACACCAUCCUUCUGCUCUUGCUACCAGUACCAGCAGGAGCACUUUAUAGUAGAGGACAAUAGUUGUUUUAGUGCUAGCACGUAAAUAAAUAUAUUUCUAAAUGCAGUAAGUUUUUGCCUCUUGUGGCUUUUUCCUUAGAGCCACCUCUGGGCUGUCUCUCAUGGGCCUCUCAGCAGCCUCUGAGACUUACACCUCCUAGAGAGCAGCCCAAGCCUGUUCUCUGAAGACAGCUUUGCCUCAACCCUUGAAUCAAGCCUCACAAAUUCCUGUCAUACAGACAUGCACACUUGGCAGCCCAGAGGAAAAGACAGGGGCCAGGGCUGCUCUCUGGCACACACUGGGCUCUUCUCCAUGAGAACUUUAGGGGAUCCCUCUUUGUCCCUGGCGCUAAGACACCACAGCCAGAGGAAUCAAUCUCUGAAGACAGUAAUGCUUGGGCAUCUGAAGCACACUGUGAUACUAUUCCUUGUGCAGAUCUUAAACAUCGUCUCUUGCAUUGUCUUUCCUCCUGUCAGCUCCUGGGCAAAAAGGCAAGACUGCUGGACGCGGUGAUCCGAGCAAGUACUACAUCCUAGGGAUCAUAGCAGCCGCAGCUUUGCUUCUGCUUGGGGCACUGGCUGGGUGUAUAGUCAUGUAUGUGCUGCUGAAGAGACACAUGUGAGUUAUUUAUUGCUGCUAUUAGCAAUGAAGUGUUUGCACCGUGCUGGAGUGCCAAGGCAGCUCCUGGCAGUGCUCUGCAGAAACCUCUGCAGUGCAAUCCCCUUUAACCGUGCUCUAAAUUCCUGUCUAUGAGGAGCCUUUUUGGAAAUCUGUUUCUACAGGAGGACCCAGGAGGACAGAGAAGCACCAAGACAAUUAUCCACUGACUCUUCCUGGGCAUGCCAUGAUCAGCCUAGAGACAGAGGUGAAACAGAGUCAGCAGAAGGAGCCGGAAUGGGCGAGAGAGCCCAAGCCAACAGGUUCGGGGACAGCUGCCAUUUGUUUUCUGAGGUCUUUGCAGCAGAGCUUGCCCAGCUGUACAAGAACAUGGGUGCAGACCCUUCACCUCUGCCUACGUGUCCCUUCUGUGCUCUGGCUGAUGGUGCCUCUUCACGGGACCACUGGAUUUCCCUGGACUCACCUCAGCCCACACCAUCCUUCUGCUCUUGCUACCAGUACCAGCAGGAGCACUUUAUAGUAGAGGACAAUAGUUGUUUUAGUGAUAGCAUGUAAAUAAAUAUAUUUCCAACAAGCAGUAAGUACUUGGCUGUUGUGGCUGUUUCUCUUGGGAUAGAAUCCAGAGAGCCAUGAGAGGAGCUGUAAGAAACCCGCACUGAAUUGC
rnacentral:lncRNA from 12 species